UUGACAUCCACAGAAUUUGGCAGAGAUGCUAAAGUGCCUUCGGGAACUGUGAGACAGGUGCUGCAUGGCUGUCGUCAGCUCGUGUUGUGAAAUGUUGGGUUAAGUCCCGCAACGAGCGCAACCCUUAUCCUUUGUUGCCAGCACGUAAUGGUGGGAACUCAAGGGAGACUGCCGGUGACAAACCGGAGGAAGGUGGGGAUGACGUCAAGUCAUCAUGGCCCUUACGGCCAGGGCUACACACGUGCUACAAUG
rnacentral:rRNA from 1 species